rnacentral:rRNA from 1 species
CCUACGGGUGGCAGCAGUGGGGAAUAUUGCACAAUGGGCGCAACCCUGAUGCAGCGACGCCGCGUGAAUGAAGAAGCGUUUCGGCGCGUAAAGCUCUGUCAUCGGGGACGAAACACGUUUCGCGCGAGCCGCGCUCGGUAACCGCCCAAUACGCGCCAGCUAACUACGUGCCAGCAGCCGCGGUAAUACGUAGGGGGCAAGCGUUAUCCGGAUUCACUGGGUGUAAAGGGGGCGUAGACGGGGAGACAAGUCGGGAGUGAAAGGUCGGGGCCCAACCCUGGGACUGCUUUGGAAACUGUUGGGCUGGAGUGCAGGAGAGGUAAGUGGAAUUCCGAGUGUAGCGGUGAAAUGCGUAGAUAUAAGGAGGAACACCAGUGGCGAAGGCGGAUUGCUGGACAGUAACUGACGUUGAGGCUCGAAAGCGUGGGGAGCAAACAGGAUUAGAUACCAGUGUAGUC